UAAGAGUUUGGGAACAAGUCUGCCACUCUGAAGCAAUAUCUGAGAUGGAGAGGUGAACAUAUUUUGAAUGACACAAAUGGUUCCCAUCCACGGAAAGCAAUGACAGGGUCUUAUUAUAUAUCUCUGGCUGUCUCGGAUUCACUGAUGUAGAGCCUGAACUCACAGAGAUCCACCUGCAUUUGCCUUCCAAGUUGUGGGAUUAAGGGCAUAUUCCACUACUGAUUGGAUAAUAUGCUUUUUACAUUUCCAUUUGGGAAAUGAUAUUUUUAAAGAAGUGAAGCACAUUAUUUAGAGACUAUGGAUGUAAUCCAGGCCUUUGAAGUAGGAAGAAGAUCUUAAUUGGUAAAAAAGGGAAGAUUGAAUGUGUCCUGGAGAACCAACUUGAAGAGUUCUAGGACUUCCCCCAGGUGGUAUGCUUCUGGACCAGUAUCAGCAGCAUCCCCAGGGGGCUGUGAGAGAUGACAACAACUUUCUGCUUCUACUGAGACCUAAGGAAUGAAGAUCUGCAGUUUAACAAGAUCCCCAGUAGCAACCAUGUUGGUGGAAUCACACUACAGGGAAGAAGAGAGGCAAAAGAAAGACUCCAAAGAUGAGCCAGUCGAUCUUGCAACAAAAAGAGGAUUUUGUCCUUUUCCUUGAAUCUCUGUUUAUCACAGUCACAUGAUAGUAGUCACUCUCCUUUAGGUUCUGAAGGUCACUUUGGGGAGCACAUUGGUGUUUCAAAAACUGUAAGAUGUUAUCACUGUGCUGAGCUUUUGCAUGUGUUAGCUAGCAGCUGCUGUGGACUGUUAUGGAUUAUACUGCCCAGCUAUUAUCACACAAUAUCCAAAGUGACAAGGAACAAUAUAUCCUGCUUCCCUCCUCUUACCACAGGCCUUUAAAGGACACCCUUCUCUCCAGAUAAUUGACAACCAAGAUAGCACCAUGGAGAAAAGGAGGACUGGAGGAUGCUCUGUCUACAGAUCCAGGGACCUUGGCUUCUACAUUUUUCUGGUUCUACUAGUUCCUUGGAGUCUUUUUCAUUUGGACAGAUGAUGGAUGGUGAAAGAGAAUAAAUAUUGGAGGCCCUCCACUAGAAGGACAGCUUUCUUAAGUCAAGGAGUUGGCUAUCUGCAUCACUGUUUUAUGGCCAGGAUAAUGGAUAUUUACCAACUGAAUAACUGACUAAAUGAAUGGGCAAUGCUGAAGGGUUAGGAGCACAGGCAGGAAAAGAAAAACAAAGAGGAAUGCAUUG